AAUGAACGCUGGCGGCGCGCCUAAUACAUGCAAGUCGAGCGAGAAGACGUAGCAAUACGUUUGUAAAGCGGCGAACGGGUGAGGAAUACAUGGGUAACCUACCCUCGAGUGGGGAAUAACUAGCCGAAAGGUUAGCUAAUACCGCGUACGCUCCUUGGACUUCGGUUCAGGGAGGAAAGCGAUACCGUGGGUAUCGCGCUCUUGGUUGGGCUCAUGUCCUAUCAGCUUGUUGGUGAGGUAACGGCUCACCAAGGCUUCGACGGGUAGCUGGUCUGAGAGGACGAUCAGCCACACUGGCACUGCGACACGGGCCAGACUCCUACGGGAGGCAGCAGUAAGGAAUAUUGCGCAAUGGGCGAAAGCCUGACGCAGCGACGCCGCGUGGGGGAUGAAGGUCUUCGGAUUGUAACCCCUUUCGGGAGGGAAGAUGGAAUGGGUAACCAUUCGGACGGUACCUCCAGAAGCAGCCACGGCUAACUUCGUGCCAGCAGCCG
rnacentral:rRNA from 1 species